GCCGGGCGUGGUGGAGCACGCCUAUAAUCCCAGCUACUCAGGAGGCUGAGGCAGGAGAAUUGCUUGAACCCAGGAGGCGGAGGUGCAGUGAGCUGCAAUCACACUACUGCACUCCAGCCUGGGUGACAGAGCAAGACUCUGUCUCAA
rnacentral:SRP_RNA from 2 species